rnacentral:rRNA from 1 species
AUGACCGCGGCAAUGCGGAUGCUAACAUAUGGAAUAGCAGCUGAUGGUGCUGAUGAGUACAUCCGGUCCGCUGAGGCUACUAAUUUAGAGUCUUGCAAGAAAUUUGUGAUCAAAGUUUGUGAAGUUUUUGGGGAAAGGUACCUGAGAUCUCCAAAUGAAGAAGACAUUGCUAGGUUACUUGCAAUAGGGGAGGAAAGAGGAUUUCCUGGUAUGUUAGGGAGCAUAGAUUGCAUGCACUGGGGUUGGAAAAAUUGCCCCAAAAAAUGGCAUGGCAUGUUUAAAGGCCAUGUCAGCGAGCCCACUAUGAUCUUGGAAGCAGUUGCUUCACAAGAUCUUUGGAUUUGGCAUGCUUAUUUUGGUUUACCAGGGUCUCUGAAUGAUAUAAAUGUUCUUCAACGUUCUCCUGUUUUUACAAAGCUAGCUGAAGGCCAAACUCCUCCAGUGAAUUAUAGCAUCAAUGGCCAUCAGUACACAAUGGGGUAUUAUCUUGCAGAUGGUAUCUAUCCACGAUGGGCAACAUUUGUGAAGAGCAUACCAGCUCCAGAUACCAGAAAACAUAAAACUUUUGCCAAGAGGCAAGAGGGGGCUAGGAAAGAUGUGGAACGAGCCUUUGGAGUUCUUCAAUCCCGUUUUGCCAUUGUUCGUGGACCUGCUAAAGGAUGGAAACGUAAAGAAAUCGGUGAUGUCAUGAAAGCUUGUGUCAUAAUGCACAAUAUGAUAGUUGAAGAGGAGCGACAAACUGGUCGGCAAAGCUGCACUUUUGAGGCAAUGGGAGAAAGAGUCACGGUCUCUCGUACUCAUGCGGAACAACUGAGCUCUUUUAUUCAGAUGACUCACCGGAUUAGAAAUCAAGGUGAACAUGAUCAGCUUAAACUUGAUCUAAUUGACCAUGUGUGGCAAAAGUUUGGAAACGAGUGA